ACUCCUACGGGAGGCAGCAGUGAGGAAUAUUGGGCAAUGGAGGCAACUCUGACCCAGCCAUGCCGCGUGCAGGAAGACGGCCUUAUGGGUUGUAAACUACUUUUAUACAGGAAGAAACGUACCCUCGUGAGGGUGCCUGACGGUACUGUAGGAAUAAGCACCGGCUAACUCCGUGCCAGCAGCCGCGGUAAUACGGAGGGUGCGAGCGUUAUCCGGAUUUAUUGGGUUUAAAGGUCCGUAGGCGGAUUAAUAAGUCAGUGGUGAAAUCCCAUCGCUUAACGAUGGAACUGCCAUUGAUACUGUUAGUCUUGAAUGAGGGUGCAGUGGUUGGAAUGUGUAGUGUAGCGGUGAAAUGCAUAGAUAUUACACAGAACACCGAUUGCGAAGGCAGAUCACUAACCCUAAAUUGACGCUGAGGGACGAAAGCGUGGGGAGCGAACAGGAUUAGAUACCCUGUAGUGUACUG
rnacentral:rRNA from 1 species